rnacentral:rRNA from 1 species
CCCGUACUUGGUGUUACUGCGAAGGGGGGACGGAGAAGGCUAUGUUGGCCGGGCGACGGUUGUCCCGGUUUAAGCGUGUAGGUGUGUGUUCCAGGUAAAUCCGGUUCACUUUAACACUGAGGCGUGAUGACGAGGCACUACGGUGCUGAAGCAACAAAUGCCCUGCUUCCAGGAAAAGCCUCUAAGCAUCAGGUAACAUCAAAUCGUACCCCAAACCGACACAGGUGGUCAGGUAGAGAAUACCAAGGCGCUUGAGAGAACUCGGGUGAAGGAACUAGGCAAAAUG